GAUGAACGCUGGCGGCGUGCCUAACACAUGCAAGUCGAGCGAUUUACUUAGGUGAAGAGCGGCGGACGGGUGAGUAACGCGUGGGUAACCUGCCCUGUACACACGGAUAACAUACCGAAAGGUAUGCUAAUACGGGAUAAUAUGCUUUAGUCGCAUGGCUGAAGUAUCAAAGCUCCGGCGGUACAGGAUGGACCCGCGUCUGAUUAGCUAGUUGGUAAGGUAACGGCUUACCAAGGCGACGAUCAGUAGCCGACCUGAGAGGGUGAUCGGCCAAAUUGGAACUGGGACACGGUCCAAACUCCUACGGGAGGCAGCAGUGGGGAAUAUUGCACAAUGGGCGAAAGCCUGAUGCAGCAACGCCGCGUGAGCGAUGAAGGCCUUCGGGUCGUAAAGCUCUGUCCUCAAGGAAGAUAAUGACGGUACUUGAGGAGGAAGCCCCGGCUAACUACGUGCCAGCCGCCGCGGUAA
rnacentral:rRNA from 1 species